rnacentral:lncRNA from 1 species
GGCCACCCAAGAGAAGAGCUCGACCCACCAGGUCCAAAGGAGGCAACUGCAGGUUAGUUUAAUAAACAGAUAGAUAGAUAUUUGAUUAUGAAACUAAUAAAACCAUACCUUGCCUCGCAAUUAUAACGAUGCUAUGCAAUAUGCAAUACCUGUAAAUCAUGCAAGUAGAUUACUUGAUUCUACUUUAUAUCAUUAACCACUCUCUACUUGUAGCCGUUCUUUUCUUUAUUAGCUAUUCUCGUUCAUUAGCUAUUUUCUUUAUUCUUUGUCAUACUGUGCUCACUGGCGAUUCUUUCCUAAGGUUAUUUUACCUUAGCCAUCUAUGCCACUCGACUCGGUCUUGAGUCAAUCAUCUGCGGAGUACCGCGUCAAGUGAAGCUCGAGGUGAAGGACGUCUCACAAGCACCUCAGCCUUAAUCCACGCGACACUAGGUCCAUCACAGGGAGAGGAGAACCGUCGAUCCCCGUGACCCUAAGUCGCUCAAGCUUAACGGGCGAGGAGAACCGUCAAACCCGUUGAGCUUAUACCGGGAGAGAAGAACCGUCGAUCCCGUUGAAUCACUACCGGGAGAGGAGAACCGUCGAUCCCGUAGUUCUGAUUCUAUUUGUGCCAACAACACCAUUCCUAUGGAUUCCGGAACCCACUUUCACAACUUAAGGGUUUAGCCACUUACCCUAUGCUGACGACCUUCCAAGGUCUAUAUCAUUCAAUUUCUAGUGGUCCUACUACCACUAUAAUUCAUAACUUAGUUCAAUUUUACUAAGUGUAACUAUACCUCAUAACCUAGGUUCGUUUACACUAGGUUUUAUAUUCUUUCACCUAGAUCUCGACUCUAGGUUUACUAAUUCAACCUAUGUUCAAUGACAUUAGGUUUAUUUCAUGUCCAACCUAUGUUUAAUAACAUUAGGUUCAUUUCAUAUCCAACCUAUGUUUAAUAACUUAGGUUCAUUUCAUAUCCAACCUAUGUUUAAUAACUUAGGUUCAUACCACUCAAUCUAUAUAAUGUCCAACUAAGAUUUAAUAACUUAGAUUCAUGCCACUCGAUCUAUAUAUCAUCCUAGGUAUCCUUGCCUAGGUUCAUAGUUCACAUGUUCUCAUUUUUCUUGUUACCAUCGAGGUUUCUAAUCAACUAGAAUUAUCGACAUUCAUAUAGCUUGAACUAUAGUACAUUCACUUUCAUAUAUGUUUAGACAUAGGCAUCAAACGUUCAUAUUCAUAAGCAUUUAACACUAGCUUUCAUGUAUCAACAAUUAUAUAUGCUCUAGCAUUCAUGUUCGCAUUUCGACAAUUACAUUCAUAUGCAUCUAGCGUUCAUAUCCAUGUGCAUUUAGCAUUCAUAUUCAUAUGGUAACCAUUAUAGAUCAUCUAGCAUUAAUCAUCAUAUGUCCACAAUCAUAUAUGCCUACUCAUAUGCAUUUAGCAUUAAUGUUCAUAUGUCGACAAUCAUAUUCAUAUAUGCGUCAAAUGAAACCAUGAUCUACUUUGGCAUGGAAGUGACCUAAUCACUUCGGUAAAGCACAACCCAC